UACGGAGGGUGCAAGCGUUGUUCGGAAUUAUUGGGCGUAAAGCGCGUGUAGGCGGUUUGUUAAGUCUGAUGUGAAAGCCCCGGGCUCAACCUGGGAAGUGCAUUGGAAACUGGCAAACUUGAGUACGGGAGAGGAAAGUGGAAUUUCGAGUGUAGGGGUGAAAUCCGUAGAUAUUCGAAGGAACACCAGUGGCGAAGGCGGCUUUCUGGACCGAUACUGACGCUGAGACGCGAAAGCGUGGGGAGCAAACAGGAUUAGAUACCCUGGUAGUCCACGCCGUAAACGAUGGGUACUAGGUGUCGCGGGUAUUGACCCCUGCGGUGCCGAAGCUAACGCAUUAAGUACCCCGCCUGGGGAGUACGGCCGCAAGGCUAAA
rnacentral:rRNA from 1 species